rnacentral:tRNA from 1 species
GAAAGUUAGUCUAACUAAGACAGUUGAUUUCGACUCAACAAACCAUAGCCUAACCCUAUGACUUUCUC